rnacentral:hammerhead_ribozyme from 1 species
AUCCAAAUGACGAAUCACAAAUAGGACGAAACGCGUUUUCUGGAU